AUAUUAUAUAUACCUACAUUAAAUAAUAUGCUGUGGUUUAUUUUCUGUAUUUUAUUUACGCUUUCUAUAUAAAGGAUUUAUGAAAGUUGUCUAGGAAAUUUUAGGGUAAAUUCAAAAGAAACUAGGGUAAAAUGUGUUAAAAAAAACGUAAGUGGAAACACUGCUUUGAAGUUUUCAAAAUUCCAGGGCCGUAAAACAAUCUCAAAAAAAAAAAAAAUGUUUUCAAAAUGUCGUAACGAUUUAAUUUUUUAAAUCGUUUUUUUUUGGUCUUGGUGUGAGUUAUUUUACGUUGUAGUAUUAAUUUAGAGCAACUUUUAGCUUUAUGAGAAUAUUAGACGAUUAGACAUUGAGAAACUCUGUUUUGAAUUCUCUUUAGACAUAACUUGGCUCCAAUACUUUUUUCUUCGUUAGCGUUUCGUAAGCCUGUGUAACUAUUUUCAUUUCUUACAGAAUGUUUAUUAUUAAAAAUCAGCAUGCCUCGAAGAUCGAAAAUGAAAUGCUAUUUCGGAUGCCUUGAUAACGACAAAGGUUUGAUAAUGACAAAAUUUUAUGGAAAAAUUAUAAGGAGCACUAAAAUGUCUGAAACAUGAAAAGAUUGAUGCACUAUAUUUGAACCAGAACGUGUUAUGUAAUAUAUUAAUUUAAGAGAAACUGAUUCAGCAAGGAACGUGAACUCUCAAGGGAUCUUAAUUUUUUUUAAAUAUUGAAAUAGUUCAUAAGAACUAAAUUGAUGCCAAUUUUGUUUUAAAAUAGGUUGUUUAGUUCUUAUAGUUAUAGUAUUACGUUUGAAUAGUUGUAAUUAGUAAGUUAGUAAUAUAUGAAAAUACUGAUAUAAAUUUUUGUAAAUAACCUUUUGUAAAUUCUACGAGAAGAUGAUUUUAAUUAAUGAUCAAAAGUCAACGGUCUUUAAAAGCAUUAUUUGCAAUUAUUUAGAUUAACUGUGGAAUAUAUUUGCUAAGUUGUGUUUUCUGUAUGAGCAGAUAUAAAUGAAAAUGCCCAAACAUGAUUAUGUUUCUUACAUUUUCAUUAUGUGAAAUCAAUAUGCUUGUGACUGAGUAUAUUAAUAAUUUAUUAAAACUUAAGUGAUAGACAGCAACCCCUAUGGCACUGCUGAAGUUUAUAAGAACUGGUGACCACUUAUCAUGGGCCGGGUUGCGUGCUCGUCUGCUGUUGAGUGCAAUAAAAAUUUUCGAAACCCUUUCUAUUAUUUAGAUGUAAUAUUAGUGUACAUUUAAUUUGGAUUAAAAGAUAAAUUUACAUUUUAUGUUUACAUGUGUAUGUUUAUAAUUCAUUUGCAUGUAACAAACACCAGUUUCUUUUGUAACAAAAUGUAAACUAAUGGUUUGUAAUGAAUGUAAUUAACUUUAAGAUGAUUUUCUUUCAAUCUGCUGUUUGUUUCAUCUAGUAUUACCAAAGCUAAAGCAUCAGAAACGUCAGAAUAGAAAUAAUUUAGAUAGGGAAUAAAAGUAUAACUAAUGUAAUCAUGUCUAAGAUUACUAUAAGCGUCAUUAAGUACAAACUAUCAAUAUUUAAGAGUACUUUAAAUCAUCAUUACAUUUUUUAAACAUUUUUUGUUUUUCAAAUCAUGUAAUAAAACGUUUGUGCAGAACAAAAUGUCACAUGUUAUGAACAUGAUUGUGGGUUAAUCGUUUCUUAAAUUUCUAAAUGUUUAUAAGAAUGCUAAGAAUAAUUUAGUAUUCACUUUAGUGUGUGUAUUAUCUCUACAAUGCUAGUAUAAAUGACAAUUAUUGUAUGACGAAGCAUAGGUAGUGUUUAUAGAUGUAAUAUUUUCAUACAAGGUCAUGAUCUGUCACGAUCAACUUUAAGCAAGAACUGCUAUAGUUAAGAAACAAAUUUAUUAAAUUUAAUUCAAAUUGUCUACUAUGUUUGUAAUGGAAAGCUGACAUGUUUAUAUUUCGCACAAAUGACUUAAGUGACAUUGAAUGAUUUGAUUAUCUAGACUUAAUUAACUUUUAGAUAACUUUCGAUUUAAUGUUAUUAAGUACUCUAGUAGGAUUAAUCUAGAGGAGUUAUUGUUAUUCGAAAUUUUAUACAAUUGUACGUUCAUACUAUCUUUUAACAGUAAAUUGUUUGUAAUAUAGGGAAAUUAAAUAGCUUACAGAGAA